GAUGAGCUCGCGUCCGAUUAGCUAGUUGGCGGAGUAAUAGCCCACCAAGGCGACGAUCGGUAGCUGGUCUGAGAGGACGAUCAGCCACACUGGAACUGAGACACGGUCCAGACUCCUACGGGAGGCAGCAGUGGGGAAUUUUCCGCAAUGGGCGCAAGCCUGACGGAGCAAGACCGCGUGGGGGAGGAAGGCUCUUGGGUUGUAAACCCCUUUUCUCUGGGAAGAACAAAAUGACGGUACCAGAGGAAUCAGCAUCGGCUAACUCCGUGCCAGCAGCCGCGGUAAGACGGAGGAUGCAAGCGUUAUCCGGAAUGAUUGGGCGUAAAGCGUCCGCGGGUGGCAGUUCAAGUCUGCUGUCAAAGACCGGGGCUUAACUUCGGACAGGCAGUGGAAACUGAACAGCUAGAGUAUGGUAGGGGCAAAGGGAAUUCCUGGUGUAGCGGUGAAAUGCGUAGA
rnacentral:rRNA from 1 species